rnacentral:rRNA from 1 species
AUUGAACGCUGGCGGCGUGCCUAACACAUGCAAGUCGAGCGGUAACAGGUGUAGCAAUACAUGCUGACGAGCGGCGGACGGGUGAGUAACGCUUGGGAAUCUGCCUGUUAGUGGGGGACAACCCGGGGAAACUCGGGCUAAUACCGCAUACGCACUACGGUGGAAAGCCGGGGACCGCAAGGCCUGGCGCUAACAGAUGAGCCCAAGUCGGAUUAGCUAGUUGGUAGGGUAACGGCCACCAAGGCGACGAUCCGUAACUGGUCUGGGAGGACGACCAGUCACACCGGAACUGAGACACGGUCCGGACUCCUACGGGAGGCAGCAGUGGGGAAUAUUGGACAAUGGGCGAAAGCCUGAUCCAGCGACGCCGCGUGGGUGAAGAAGGCCUGCGGGUUGUAAAGCCCUUUCGGUGGGGAAGAAAAGCCUCGAGUUAAUACCUCGGGUCUUGACGUAACCCAUAGAAGAAGCACCGGCUAACUCUGUGCCAGCCGCCGC